rnacentral:rRNA from 1 species
UACGUAGGGGGCAAGCGUUGUCCGGAAUCACUGGGCGUAAAGCGCGCGCAGGCGGCGAUCUACGUCCGGGGUGAAAGCCCAGAGCUCAACUCUGGGACUGCCUUGGAUACGGGAUCGCUUGAGGAUCGGAGAGGCAAGGGGAAUUCCACGUGUAGCGGUGAAAUGCGUAGAGAUCGGGAGGAACACCAGUGGCGAAGGCGGCACCCUGGAUCAGCACUGACACUCAGGCACGAAAGCGUGGGGAGCAAACAGG